GCGGUGGACGUUCUGGACGAUCAGCGGGAAGGAGCGCUCGCCACGGUAGUGUUUCCGCGGCUCGCCGACCGUGCAGGAGGGCGGAUCGGCCCAGAACGCUUUGUAGUAGGCCCCGCGAUAGUAGUAGCAGGUGAGGCGGAAACCGCCGGGGGCCCACAGGAUGAAGAACGCAG
rnacentral:misc_RNA from 1 species